UUAGCUCCUGGGGACUGAUGCACACAGCUGUGGAAAUGAUAGUAAGGCUCUUUGUUAGAGCUCUUGUGGCUGCCUGGAGAUGAUGCUGCCUUGGCCAUGGCCUGCUGUUAUCCUCGGGGAGCUGGGACGUGGGCACAGGGGCAUGCAUUUCCCCCUCAGCACUAGCUCCAAGGGACAAUGUGCAGCACUUGCUGUCAGCCACCUGCAAACCAGGAGGAGCGCCCUCAGCAGAACCUGACCGUGCUGACAGCUUGAUCUGACUUUCAGAUUUCCAGCCUGCAGAACUGUAAAAAAAAAAACUCUAAUUUCUGAUAUUAAGCCACAUGGUUGAUGAAAUUUUGCUAUGGGAACCCAAGCUGACUAAUACAGCUCCCCAUGUUUCUUUCUUUGUUGCUUGUUUUAUUUCUUUGUGUCUCUAUUCAUGAAAAUCUUCUCAUUGUGAAUCUUCAAUAAAAGUGUAUGUAUUUCUAAACUCUGUGUAUGUACUAAUGUGCUAAUAUGUACUGUAUGUAUUAUAUAUUUGUAUUAUAUGUAUUAUAUGUAAUGUAUUAUAUGUUUCACACAACAUAUCCCCC
rnacentral:lncRNA from 10 species